rnacentral:rRNA from 1 species
CUCAGGACGAACGCUGGCGGCGUGCUUAACACAUGCAAGUCGAACGGAGCGCCAUGGAAUGAGGUUUCGGCCAAAGGAAAUGGUUGCUUAGUGGCGGACUGGUGAGUAACGCGUGAGGAACCUGCCUUUCAGAGGGGGACAACAGUUGGAAACGACUGCUAAUACCGCAUGAUACAUUUGGGUGGCAUCAUCUGAAUGUCAAAGAUUUAUCGCUGAAAGAUGGCCUCGCGUCUGAUUAGCUAGUUGGUGAGGUAACGGCCCACCAAGGCGACGAUCAGUAGCCGGACUGAGAGGUUGAACGGCCACAUUGGGACUGAGAUACGGCCCAGACUCCUACGGGAGGCAGCAGUGGGGAAUAUUGGGCAAUGGGCGCAAGCCUGACCCAGCAACGCCGCGUGAAGGAAGAAGGCUUUCGGGUUGUAAACUUCUUUUGUCGGGGACGAGUAGAAGACGGUACCUGACGAAUAAGCCACGGCUAACUACGUGCCAGCAGCCGCGGUAAUACGUAGGUGGCAAGCGUUGUCCGGAAUUACUGGGUGUAAAGGGAGCGCAGGCGGGAUAGCAAGUCAGCUGUGAAAACUAUGGGCUCAACCCAUAAACUGCAGUUGAAACUGUUAUUCUUGAGUGGAGUAGAGGCAAGCGGAAUUCCGAGUGUAGCGGUGAAAUGCGUAGAUAUUCGGAGGAACACCAGUGGCGAAGGCGGCUUGCUGGGCUCUAACUGACGCUGAGGCUCGAAAGUGUGGGGAGCAAACAGGAUUAGAUACCCUGGUAGUCCACACUGUAAACGAUGAAUACUAGGUGUGCGGGGACUGACCCCCUGCGUGCCGCAGUUAACACAAUAAGUAUUCCACCUGGGGAGUACGAUCGCAAGGUUGAAACUCAAAGGAAUUGACGGGGGCCCGCACAAGCGGUGGAUUAUGUGGUUUAAUUCGAAGCAACGCGAAGAACCUUACCAGGGUUUGACAUCCUGCUAACGAAGUAGAGAUACAUUAGGUGCCCUUCGGGGAAAGCAGAGACAGGUGGUGCAUGGUUGUCGUCAGCUCGUGUCGUGAGAUGUUGGGUUAAG